rnacentral:siRNA from 1 species
AUUAGGUGAUGUGAUUUGCACAUAA